rnacentral:ribozyme from 1 species
AGUAGGGAAUAAAGACGGAAUGUAAAAAAAUACCAAGUCUAGAAAAAGGGACUUGAAAUUUGGCUGUUAGGUUAGGUUUGUAUUCUAAUUUUUCUUCUUUUAGUUGUUUUAUGUUGUUGCUUUGUUGUG